GACGAACGCUGGCGGCGCGCCUAACACAUGCAAGUCGAGCGGGGAUUUAAGUGGAAGUUCUUCGGAAUGGAGAUUUAAAUUCUAGCGGCGGACGGGUGAGUAACGCGUGAACAAUCUGUCCCGGACAGGGGGAUAACACUUGGAAACAGGUGCUAAUACCGCAUAAGACCACGGCCUCGCAUGGGGCUGAGGUAAAAGGAGCAAUCCGGUUCGGGGUGAGUUCGCGUCCGAUUAGCUAGUUGGUGAGGUAACGGCCCACCAAGGCGACGAUCGGUAGCCGGCCUGAGAGGGUGAACGGCCACAUUGGAACUGAGAGACGGUCCAAACUCCUACGGGAGGCAGCAGUGGGGAAUAUUGGGCAAUGGGCGAAGGCCUGACCCAGCAACGCCGCGUGAGGGAAGAAGGUUUUCGGAUUGUAAACCUCUGUCCUAUGGGACGAAGGAAGUGACGGUACCAUAGGAGGAAGCCCCGGCUAACUACGUG
rnacentral:rRNA from 1 species